rnacentral:rRNA from 1 species
GAACUGAAGAGUUUGAUCAUGGCUCAGAUUGAACGCUGGCGGCAGGCCUAACACAUGCAAGUCGAGCGGCAGCACGGGUACUUGUACCUGGUGGCGAGCGGCGGACGGGUGAGUAAUGCCUAGGAAUCUGCCUGGUAGUGGGGGAUAACGCUCGGAAACGGACGCUAAUACCGCAUACGUCCUACGGGAGAAAGCAGGGGACCUUCGGGCCUUGCGCUAUCAGAUGAGCCUAGGUCGGAUUAGCUAGUUGGUGAGGUAAUGGCUCACCAAGGCGACGAUCCGUAACUGGUCUGAGAGGAUGAUCAGUCACACUGGAACUGAGACACGGUCCAGACUCCUACGGGAGGCAGCAGUGGGGAAUAUUGGACAAUGGGCGAAAGCCUGAUCCAGCCAUGCCGCGUGUGUGAAGAAGGUCUUCGGAUUGUAAAGCACUUUAAGUUGGGAGGAAGGGCAGUUACCUAAUACGUAUCUGUUUUGACGUUACCGACAGAAUAAGCACCGGCUAACUCUGUGCCAGCAGCCGCGGUAAUACAGAGGGUGCAAGCGUUAAUCGGAAUUACUGGGCGUAAAGCGCGCGUAGGUGGUU